AUUGAACGCUGGCGGCAUGCUUUACACAUGCAAGUCGAACGGUAGAGGGGGCAACCCCUUGAGAGUGGCGAACGGGUGAGUAAUGCAUCGGAACGUGCCCAGUCGUGGGGGAUGACGCAGCGAAAGCUGUGCUAAUACCGCAUACGAUCUCUGGAUGAACGCGGGGGACCGAAAGGCCUCGCGCGAUUGGAGCGGCCGAUGUCAGAUUAGGUAGUUGGUGGGGUAAAGGCCUACCAAGCCAACGAUCUGUAGCUGGUCUGAGAGGACGACCAGCCACACUGGGACUGAGACACGGCCCAGACUCCUACGGGAGGCAGCAGCGGGGAAUUUUGGACAAUGGGCGCAAGCCUGAUCCAGCAAUGCCGCGUGCAGGAAGAAGGCCUUCGGGUUGUAAACUGCUUUUGUACGGAACGAAACGGUCUGGGUUAAUACCCUGGGCUAAUGACGGUACCGUAAGAAUAAGCACCGGCUAACUACGUGCCAGCAGCCGCCGCAG
rnacentral:rRNA from 1 species